rnacentral:rRNA from 1 species
AUUGAACGCUGGCGGCAGGCCUAACACAUGCAAGUCGAGCGAGCGGCGGACGGGUGAGUGAUGUCUGGGAAACUGCCUGAUGGAGGGGGAUAACAACUGGAAACGGUAGCUAAUACCGCAUACCCUAAGAUGUGCCCAGGUGGGAUUAGCUAGUAGGUGGGGUAACGGCUCACCUAGGCGACGACCCCUAGCUGGUCUGAGAGGAUGACCAGCCACACUGGAACUGAGACACGGUCCAGACUCCUACGGGAGGCAGCAGUGGGGAAUAUUGCACAAUGGGCGCAAGCCUGAUGCAGCCAUGCCGCGUGUAUGAAGAAGGCCUUCGGGUUGUAAAGCACUUUCAGCGGGGAGGCGUUACCCGCAGAAGAAGCACCGGCUAACUCCGUGCCAGCAGCCGCGGUAAUUC